UAGGGAAUCUUCCGCAAUGGGCGAAAGCCUGACGGAGCAACGCCGCGUGAGUGAUGAAGGUCUUCGGAUCGUAAAACUCUGUUAUUAGGGAAGAACAAAUGUGUAAGUAACUAUGCACGUCUUGACGGUACCUAAUCAGAAAGCCACGGCUAACUACGUGCCAGCAGCCGCGGUAAUACGUAGUUGGCAAGCGUUAUCCGGAAUUAUUGGGCAUAAAGCGCGCGUAGGCGGUUUUUUAAGUCUGAUGUGAAAGCCCACGGCUCAACCGUGGAGGGUCAUUGGAAACUGGAAAACUUGAGUGCAGAAGAGGAAAGUGGAAUUCCAUGUGUAGCGGUGAAAUGCGCAGAGAUAUGGAGGAACACCAGUGGCGAAGGCGACUUUCUGGUCUGUAACUGACGCUGAUGUGCGAAAGCGUGGGGAUCAAACAGG
rnacentral:rRNA from 1 species